UGGGGAAUUUUGGACAAUGGGCGAAAGCCUGAUCCAGCAAUGCCGCGUGUGUGAAGAAGGCCUUCGGGUUGUAAAGCACUUUUGUCCGGAAAGAAAUCCUUGGCUCUAAUACAGUCGGGGGAUGACGGUACCGGAAGAAUAAGCACCGGCUAACUACGUGCCAGCAGCCGCGGUAAUACGUAGGGUGCAAGCGUUAAUCGGAAUUACUGGGCGUAAAGCGUGCGCAGGCGGUUUGCUAAGACCGAUGUGAAAUCCCCGGGCUCAACCUGGGAACUGCAUUGGUGACUGGCAGGCUAGAGUAUGGCAGAGGGGGGUAGAAUUCCACGUGUAGCAGUGAAAUGCGUAGAGAUGUGGAGGAAUACCGAUGGCGAAGGCAGCCCCCUGGGGCCAAAUACUGACGCUCAUGCACGAAAGCGUGGGGGAGCAAACAGGAUUAGAUACCCUGGGUAGUCCACGCCCUAAACGAUGUCAACUAGUUGUUGGGGAUUCAUUUCCUUAGUAACGUAGCUAACGCGUGAAGUUGACCGCCUGGGGAGUACGGUCGCAAGAUUAAAACUCAAAUGAAUUGACGGGGUCAUA
rnacentral:rRNA from 1 species